AAAGGAUUCUCGGCCUGGGCUGGUGACCCACGCCUCAUAUCCCAGCACUCAGGAGGCAGAGGCAGCUGGAUCUCUGUGAGUUAGAGGGAAAGUCACCAUCAUCUCUGAACUGAAGGCUGUGCCACUGUGGAUGGCUGGAGGAGCGGCCUUCCCUGGUAACUGUUGACGAAGCAGAAUUCAGCCUCUUGAUUGGACAGUCGAGUCUGCACUUCUUCAGAUAGGGAAAUUCUAACAAGCUAAUGGAAAAUUAAGAUGGAAACCUGCUGUCUCUGGGAAGAAAGUCUCAGGGGGUCACAAGCCACUGAAAGACUGGAAUUCUCUGUACUGAGUGGGAAUAGGGGCUCUCUGUCUGUGCUUUGAUUCUGCAUGGUCAUGGCCACUUUCAGAAUAAGCUCCAGUACACGUGUGGGUGCAUUCCCUCACCCCCACCAUUAGCCCAGCCCAGACUUUCUGAUUAUGCAAACCAUGAGGAUCUGACUCAGCCAAUGCAGUUGAUUUGGAAAACAUAUUGGUAAUUUAAAAUUAUUUAUUUGU
rnacentral:lncRNA from 1 species